rnacentral:rRNA from 1 species
GAUGAACGCUGGCGGCGUGCCUAAUACAUGCAAGUAGAACGCUGAAGGAAGGAGCUUGCUCUUUCCGGAUGAGUUGCGAACGGGUGAGUAACGCGUAGGUAACCUGCCUGGUAGCGGGGGAUAACUAUUGGAAACGAUAGCUAAUACCGCAUAACAGUAGAUGUUGCAUGAUAUCUACUUAAAAGGUGCAAUUGCACCACUACCAGAUGGACCUGCGUUGUAUUAGCUAGUUGGUGAGGUAACGGCUCACCAAGGCGACGAUACAUAGCCGACCUGAGAGGGUGAUCGGCCACACUGGGACUGAGACACGGCCCAGACUCCUACGGGAGGCAGCAGUAGGGAAUCUUCGGCAAAGGACGGAAGUCUGACCGAGCAACGCCGCGUGAGUGAAGAAGGUUUUCGGAUCGUAAAGCUCUGUUGUAAGAGAAGAACGAGUGUGAGAGUGGAAAGUUCACACUGUGACGGUAUCUUACCAGAAAGGGACGGCUAACUACGU